rnacentral:rRNA from 1 species
UACGAAGGGGGCUAGCGUUGCUCGGAAUUACUGGGCGUAAAGCGCACGUAGGCGGCUUUCUAAGUCGGGGGUGAAAUCCUGGAGCUCAACUCCAGAACUGCCUUCGAUACUGGAAAGCUCGAGUCCGGGAGAGGUGAGUGGAACUGCGAGUGUAGAGGUGAAAUUCGUAGAAUAUUCGCAAGAACACCAGUGGCGAAGGCGGCUCACUGGCCCGGUACUGACGCUGAGGUGCGAAAGCGUGGGGAGCAAACAGG